rnacentral:rRNA from 1 species
AGGACGAACGCUGGCGGCGUGCUUAACACAUGCAAGUCGAGCGAGAACCGGACCUUCGGGUCUGGGGAAAGCGGCGAACGGGUGAGUAACACGUGGGCAACCUGCCUCAGAGACUGGGAUAACGUUCCGAAAGGGACGCUAAUACCGGAUGAUGCGUGAUCCGCUAAGUGGGUUACGGCAAAUGGUAGCCUCGGCUUCUGCUCUGGGAUGGGCCCGCGCCGGAUUAGCUUGUUGGUGAGGUAACGGCUCACCAAGGCGACGAUCCGUAGCUGGUCUGAGAGGACGAUCAGCCACACUGGGACUGAGACACGGCCCAGACUCCUACGGGAGGCAGCAGUGGGGAAUCUUGCGCAAUGGGCGAAAGCCUGACGCAGCAACGCCGCGUGAGCCGAAGACGGCCUUCGGGUUGUAAAGCUCUGUCAGGAGGGACGAAGCCACUCAGGUUAAUAGCCGAGAGGGUGACGGUACCUCCAGAGGAAGCCCCGGCUAACUACGUGCCAGCAGCCGC